rnacentral:lncRNA from 1 species
AUGUGGGGCUGGACUGGGUCCGACGCAGAAACCGUCUGGAGUCCGUUAUUCUGGGUCCACUCGGAAACCAGGAAGGGGUGGGUGGGUCCCGGCUGGAUUGGGUCUGCCUUAAGCUGGACCGGCACCAGCGUGAGGCAUCCGUACUUCCUGCAAAUUAAAGGAGAAGUGUUUUUCCCACAUCAUUUCUUUUCCAGGGGAGGACAAACUUCAUUUGGCUUAACUGCAAUCCUUUGGUGUAAGUUUUCUCAGUCGUUCCAUGUCAAGGAAGAAAAAUAAUUCAGAGCAUGUAUCU